CCCUGGUUGACCGCGGCGGCGGGCGGUCGGCGCAGCGGCGGCGGCGGCGGCGGCGGCGCGGCAUUCACUUUGGAUACUAGGGAAAGUUAUUUCCGCUAUGGAAGCCGCCUAAGUCGCCACCGCCCGCCCCGCCGCCCGCAUACGAAACCGCCCCGCCGCUCCAUUGACCGCUGUUGCUCCACUGACUGCUGUAGCCACCGCUGACUGCUGUAGCCACCGCUGACUGCUGUAGCUACUCUUCCGCCUACUUCGGACUCUUCCGCCUACGAUCACACCCUACAGUGAACACUGAAAGCUUAGUUUCCAAGAAAAUUUAUUCCAAGUAUGAACUGGGAAGCUAAACACAGUGUCUAUAAAGCCCGUCACAGACUUAAGUGUUAAGUAAGUUAGUGUUAAGUUGUUAGUAAGUUAGUGUUAGUGUUAAGUUGUUAGUAAGUUAAGUAAGUAAGUAAAAUAUGCUUUAGUGCCAAACUACUGAGCCGAAGGUCCCGGGUUCGAUUAACCGGCACUUUAAUCAUUAAACAUCACUUUAGGCAAGACCUACUAUAGAAACCUCAGAAUGGAAAUAGAAAGACUUAUAAAACGAUUUCAGUUUGUAUUUUUGUAUUUAACAAAUUUUCUUUUAAAAAUAAAAGAAAUAAAAAUUCAUUUUUAACAAAUAGGUACUUAGGCAAAAGUUUGCGGGGCAUUAGACCGGAAACAUCUAAAGGAAAUCUAUUUUUGUUAAAUCUAGUCACCAUAAUACUUGUCAAGACAAACCCUUCAGGUUUAAUGGCACGUUAAUUUAAAAACCUAACUAUGUUACACAAUGUUUAAAAAUAAAAUAAUAAAAUAUCACCUUGGGAAUAAAUAAAUGUUUAUUCAAUA